ACUCUUGACCAGCAUAUUGAAGAGCAAUUUGGUUGUGGUCGUCUAUUGGCUUGUAUCUCAUCACGACCUGGACAGUGGCUGUGCUGAUGGGAUGGGAAAACAUUGGACAACGAGCUGGAGGUUGUUGAGGGAAUGAAGCUAGACAGGGGCUACAUAUCCCCUUAUUUCAUCACCAACCAGAACAAUCAGAAAUGUGAAUUGGAAAAUCCUCUAAUCAUAAUCCAUGAGAAGAAAAUCUCAAGUAUUAAUGAUGUGGUUAAAGUAUUGGAGUUGGUUUUGCAGUUAUGAUUUCAGAUAUGUAGAUAACCUGUUGUUGCUGAUAUUGCUACACGGGAGGAGAACAGAACAACUUGGAAAAUGUGCAAGAAGGGAGAGCUAACUCAUACAACGAAGAACAAAUUGAUGAAGUUAAGAUCAAAUUAGUAGAAUUUGUGAGCUCUCCAUUAUUUAUAAUUAUAGGUGGGAAGUAUGUAUGUAAUAGAGCAAAGAUUGGUUGACUAUGUAAUAACAAUUGAAUUGUCAAGUUUUAUGAAAGAAAUAAUUUUUGCUUCUUGGGA